UACGUAGGGGGCAAGCGUUGUCCGGAAUCAUUGGGCGUAAAGAGCGUGUAGGCGGCCCGGUAAGUCCGCUGUGAAAGUCCAGGGCUCAACCCUGGGAUGCCGGUGGAUACUGUCGGGCUCGAGUCCGGAAGAGGAGAGUGGAAUUCCCGGUGUAGCGGUGAAAUGCGCAGAUAUCGGGAAGAAUAUCCGUGGCGAAGGCGGCUCUCUGGUACGGCACUGACGCUGAGACGCGAAAGCGUGGGGAGCGAACAGG
rnacentral:rRNA from 1 species